rnacentral:rRNA from 1 species
GGCCUACCAUGGUGGUAACGGGUAACGGGGUGUUAGGGCACGACACCGGAGAGGGAGCCUGAGAAACGGCUACCACAUCCAAGGAUGGCAGCAGGCGCGCAAAUUACCCAAUCCCGACACGGGGAGGUAGUGACAAUAAAUAACAAUACGGGGUUCUUAUGGAUCUCGUAAUUGGAAUGAGUACAAUUUAAAUCUCUUAACGAGGAACAAUUGGAGGGCAAGUCUGGUGCCAGCAGCCGCGGUAAUUCCAGCUCCAAUAGCGUAUAUUAAAGUUGUUGCAGUUAAAAAGCUCGUAGUUGAAUUUCGGGGUCAGUAGGUUGGUCAUGCCACUGGUAUGUACUGGUCUCACUGAUUCCUCCUUCCUGAUGAACUGUAAUGCCAUUAAUUUGGUGUUGCAGGGAAUCUGGACUGUUACUUUGAAAAAAUUAGAGUGUUUAAAGCAGGCUAACGCCUGAAUACAUUAUCAUGGAAUAAUGAAAUAGGACGUUCGAUCCUAUUUUGUUGGUUUCUAGGAUUGACGUAAUGAUUAAUAGGGAUAGUUGGGGGCAUUAGUAUUCAAUUGUCAGAGGUGAAAUUCUUGGAUUUAUUGAAGACUAACUACUGCGAAAGCAUUUGCCAAGGAUGUUUUCAUUAAUCAAGAACGAAAGUUAGGGGAUUGAAGACGAUCAGAUACCGUCGUAGUUUUAACCAUAAACUAUGCCGACUAGGGAUCGGAUGAUGUUAAUUUUUUAAUGACUCAUUUGGCGCCUUACG